ACCGCUUCCUUAUCCUCUCGGUAUGCGCAUCGCCACCACCCUCGCUGCAGAGGCCGCCGCCCUCCCAGCGCGCCAUCACCGCCUCCUCUGCCUCUUCCCCUCCCUCAGCCCCGGCCCCUGCAUUGACUUGGCUCGGGCUGCGCCUCACUGCGCCUGCCAACUGUCACACGCUCUGAGGCUUUCAACAGCGGGGCGCCAGGGACAAACAAGCCGCGGCAAGCGCAAACAGCCUGCUCAAACAGGGACGGCCAGGGUGUUGUUUGACCAGCACUGGAAUUGGAAACUAGGUUUCGAAGAAGUCAAAUCGAAGUACAAUAUUGUAUUUUAAACUGCCUGUUGUUAUUACAUCCCUCACAACGCACGCUCUACUUGAAACUUCCAGUGGAUACCAACUGCACUUAGAAUAAAAAAUGAAACUCCUUGCCUAACUCUGGGACCUCAUCAGCACAUACUCACCAUAUUUUGGUAACAAAGGCCUUCAUGCUGUUCCCGGAAGUCGCCAAGUUCCAUCCAUCAUUGUUAAUAAUUCCUUUUGCUCGCUCCUCGCACAAGAACUGUUUCUUCUGCUUAGUGCUUUGCCUACUGAUUCCAUCUUGUCAUUUAAGUCUCGGCUCAAAUGUCACCUCUGCAAAGAACCCUUGUCUGACCAUACAUCUAAAAUAGCCACAAACACUCUAUAAAGACUUGGCCUUGCUUUAUUUCCUUCUCAGCACUCAUCACUGUCUGAAACAAUGUUUUGGAUUUGUUGCUUAUUAUCAGUCUCCCUUCUCAAGAAUGCAAGCUUUGUGAGGGCAGAGUCGUAAUCUUUUUUAAGGCUGUAUCCCCAAUGCCUGGAUUAUCAACUUCAGGCAAUGGACCACGCACCAGGAUUCCACCUCUUUCUAGCACCUAUCAGUGUUGCGCACAUCAUAGGCCCUCAACAAACAGUGUCCUUGUCUGGCUUCAAUAUCAGGGUAAUGCUGGCCUCAUAAAAACAGUUUCAGGCAGCCACGCUGGGGGAUCCCACAUGGUAAAGAACUGCAGGUGGCCUCUAGGAGAUGAGGGCGGCCUCCAGUCAACAGCCAGCAAGAAACUGAAGUGCUCUGUCCUACAACCUUGUGUAACUGAAUUCUGCCAACAACCUGAGUGAGACUGAAAGUGGAUCCCUCUCCAGUCAUGCCUCAGGUGAGACUGUAUCCCUGGAUGACACCUUGAUUCAGCCUCAUGUGACCCUAAGGAGACGACCCAUAUAAACUGUGCCUGGACUCAAGGCCCUCAGAAACUGUGAGAUAAUAAACAUG
ensembl:lncRNA novel transcript, antisense to LNPEP and ERAP2